AACGAACGCUGGCGGCAUGCCUAACACAUGCAAGUCGAGCGAGACCUUCGGGUCUAUUCGCGCCCGGUUUCGUAAGGGGUGGGGACCUUCACUUAGGGUCGGACUAACUCCCAGAAAGGGGUACUAAUACCAGAUAGUGUCUUCUAACGAAAGAUUUAUCGCCUUUGGUUGGGCCCGAGUUGGAUUCGCUAGUUGUUAGGGUAAAAGCCUACCAAGGCGAGGAUCCAUAACUGGUCAGAGAGGCUGCUCAGCCACACUGGGACUGGGACACGGCCGAGAAUCCUCCGGGAUGCAGCAGUGGGGAAUAUUGGACAAUGGGCGAAAGGAUGAUGCAGCACUGCCGGGAGAGUGAUGAAGGCCUUAGGGUUGUAAAGCGUUUUUAACCGGGAUGAUAAUGACAGUACCGGGAGAAUAAGCUCCGGCUAACUCCGUG
rnacentral:rRNA from 1 species